rnacentral:rRNA from 1 species
AAAACAUGUCUAUAUGAUUGUUAUAUAAAGUCUAGCCUGCCCACUGAUUGAAAUUUAAAGGGCCGCGGUAUACUGACCGUGCGAAGGUAGCAUAAUCAUUAGUCUUUUAAUUGAAGGCUUGUAUGAAUGGUUGGACAAAAAGUAAGCUGUCUCAGUUAUAAUAAUUGAAUUUAACUUUUAAGUGAAAAGGCUUAAAUGGAUUAAGGGGACGAUAAGACCCUAUAAAGCUUGACAAUAAGUUAAUUAUAUUAUAAAUUGUUAGUAUAACUUGAUUUUAAUUGACGUUUGUUACGUUGGGGCGACGAGAAUAUAAUGAGUAACUGUUCUUAAAUGUUUAUUGACAAAUAUAAUUGGUAUUUGAUUGAUCCUUUAUUAAAGAUUAAAAGAUUAAGUUACUUUAGGGAUAACAGCGUAAUCUUCUUUGAGAGUUCAUAUCGACAAGAAGGUUUGCGACCUCGAUGUUGAAUUAAGGUAUCCUUAUGAUGCAGCAGUUAUAAAGGAAGGUCUGUUCGACCUUUAAAUCCUUACAUGAUCUGAUC